rnacentral:rRNA from 1 species
GACGAACGCUGGCGGCGUGCUUAACACAUGCAAGUCGAACGGAAAGGCCCUGCUUUUGUGGGGUGCUCGAGUGGCGAACGGGUGAGUAACACGUGAGUAACCUGCCCUUGACUUUGGGAUAACUUCAGGAAACUGGGGCUAAUACCGGAUAGGAGCUCCUGCUGCAUGGUGGGGGUUGGAAAGUUUCGGCGGUUGGGGAUGGACUCGCGGCUUAUCAGCUUGUUGGUGGGGUAGUGGCUUACCAAGGCUUUGACGGGUAGCCGGCCUGAGAGGGUGACCGGCCACAUUGGGACUGAGAUACGGCCCAGACUCCUACGGGAGGCAGCAGUGGGGAAUAUUGCACAAUGGGCGGAAGCCUGAUGCAGCAACGCCGCGUGCGAGAUGACGGCCUUCGGGUUGUAAGCCGCUUUCGCCUGUGACGAAGCGUGAGUGACGGUAAUGGGUAAAGAAGCACCGGCUAACUACGUG